rnacentral:tRNA from 1 species
GCCGCGGUAGCUCAUUGGCAGAGCGCUGCCCUGAAGAGGCAGGCGCAGGGUGUUCGAUUCACCCCCGCGGCACCA